rnacentral:tRNA from 1 species
AGUUAAUGAGCUUGUUAAAGCAUAUAUUUUGAAAAUAUAAGAAAGUUUAAAAAUCAACUAUUAACUU